GACGAACGCUGGCGGCGUGCUUAACACAUGCAAGUCGAACGGAAAGGCCCUGCUUUUGUGGGGUGCUCGAGUGGCGAACGGGUGAGUAACACGUGAGUAACCUGCCCUUGACUUUGGGAUAACUUCAGGAAACUGGGGCUAAUACCGGAUAGGAGCUCCUGCUGCAUGGUGGGGGUUGGAAAGUUUCGGCGGUUGGGGAUGGACUCGCGGCUUAUCAGCUUGUUGGUGGGGUAGUGGCUUACCAAGGCUUUGACGGGUAGCCGGCCUGAGAGGGUGACCGGCCACAUUGGGACUGAGAUACGGCCCAGACUCCUACGGGAGGCAGCAGUGGGGAAUAUUGCACAAUGGGCGGAAGGCUGAUGCAGCAACGCCGCGUGGGGGAUGACGGGCUUCGGGUUGUAAACCGCUUUCGCCUGUGACGAAGCGUGAGUGACGGUAAUGGGUAAAGAAGCACCGGCUAACUACGUG
rnacentral:rRNA from 1 species